rnacentral:misc_RNA from 1 species
UUAGGGGUAGGGAUGGGUUCCGCCCA